rnacentral:rRNA from 1 species
AGUGAACGCUGGCGGUAGGCCUAACACAUGCAAGUCGAACGGCAGCACAGUAAGAGCUUGCUCUUACGGGUGGCGAGUGGCGGACGGGUGAGGAAUACAUCGGAAUCUACUUUUUCGUGGGGGAUAACGUAGGGAAACUUACGCUAAUACCUCAUACGACCUACGGGUGAAAGCAGGGGAUCUUCGGACCUUUCGCGAUUGUAUGAGCCGAUGUCGGUUUAGCUAGUUGGCGGGGUAAAGGCCCACCAAGGCGACGAGCCGUAGCUGGUGAGCGAUGAUGGUGACACGCACUGGAACUGAGAAACGGUCCAGAGUACUACGAGAGGCCGCAUGGACGAAUAUUGGACAAUGGGCGCAAGACUGAUGCAGACAUACAGCAUGAGUGAAGAAAGCCUUCGGGUUGUAAGGCCCUUUUGUUAGGAAAGAAAAGCAGCAGGUGAAAACAGCGCUGUUCUGACGGUACCAAAAGAAUAAGCAACGGCUAACUUCGUG